CAAAGAGAGGCAAAGCCGCGAGGUGGAGCAAAUCUCAAAAAAGCCGUCCCAGUUCGGAUUGCAGGCUGCAACCCGCCUGCAUGAAGUUGGAAUCGCUAGUAAUCGCGGAUCAGCAUGCCGCGGUGAAUACGUUCCCGGGCCUUGUACACACCGCCCGUCACACCAUGAGAGUCGGGAACACCCGAAGUCCGUAGCCUGACCGCAAGGGGGGCGCGGCCGAAGGUGGGUUCGAUAAUUGGGGUGAAGUCGUAACAAGGUAGC
rnacentral:rRNA from 1 species